AAAUUGAAGAGUUUGAUCAUGGCUCAGAUUGAACGCUGGCGGCAGGCCUAACACAUGCAAGUCGAGCGGAAACGACACUAACAAUCCUUCGGGUGCGUUAAUGGGCGUCGAGCGGCGGACGGGUGAGUAAUGCCUAGGAAAUUGCCUUGAUGUGGGGGAUAACCAUUGGAAACGAUGGCUAAUACCGCAUAAUGCCUACGGGCCAAAGAGGGGGAUCUUCGGACCUCUCGCGUCAAGAUAUGCCUAGGUGGGAUUAGCUAGUUGGUGAGGUAAUGGCUCACCAAGGCGACGAUCCCUAGCUGGUCUGAGAGGAUGAUCAGCCACACUGGAACUGAGACACGGUCCAGACUCCUACGGGAGGCAGCAGUGGGGAAUAUUGCACAAUGGGCGAAAGCCUGAUGCAGCCAUGCCGCGUCUAUGAAGAAGGCCUUCGGGUUGUAAAGUACUUUCAGUUGUGAGGAAGGGUGUGUAGUUAAUAGCUGCACAUCUUGACGUUAGCAACAGAAGAAGCACCGGCUAACUCCGUGCCAGCAGCCGCGGUAAUACGGAGGGUGCGAGCGUUAAUCGGAAUUACUGGGCGUAAAGCGCAUGCAGGUGGUUCAUUAAGUCAGAUGUGAAAGCCCGGGGCUCAACCUCGGAACUGCAUUUGAAACUGGUGAACUAGAGUGCUGUAGAGGGGGGUAGAAUUUCAGGUGU
rnacentral:rRNA from 1 species